rnacentral:rRNA from 1 species
GAUGAACGCUGGCGGCGUGCCUAAUACAUGCAAGUCGAGCGAACAGAUGAGGAGCUUGCUCCUCUGACGUUAGCGGCGGACGGGUGAGUAACACGUGGAUAACCUACCUAUAAGACUGGGAUAACUUCGGGAAACCGGAGCUAAUACCGGAUAAUAUAUUGAACCGCAUGGCUCAAUAGUGAAAGACGGUUUUGCUGUCACUUAUAGAUGGAUUCGCGCCGCAUUAGCUAGUUGGUAAGGUAACGGCUUACCAAGGCAACGAUGCGUAGCCGUCCUGAGAGGGUGAUCGGCCACACUGGAACUGAGACACGGUCCAGACUCCUACGGGAGGCAGCAGUAGGGAAUCUUCCGCAAUGGGCGGAAGACUGACGGAGCAACGCCGCGUAAGUGAUGAAGGUCUUCGGAUCGUAAAACUCUGUUAUUAGGGAAGAACAAAUGUGUAAGUAACUAUGCACGUCUUGACGGUACCUAAUCAGAAAGCCACGGCUAACUCCGUG